UACGUAGGGUGCGAGCGUUGUCCGGAAUUAUUGGGCGUAAAGGGCUCGUAGGCGGUUUGUCGCGUCGAAAGUGAAAACUCAGGGCUUAACCCUGAGCCUGCUUCCGAUACGGGCAGACUAGAGGUAUGCAGGGGAGAACGGAAUUCCUGGUGUAGCGGUGAAAUGCGCAGAUAUCAGGAGGAACACCGGUGGCGAAGGCGGUUCUCUGGGCAUUACCUGACGCUGAGGAGCGAAAGUGUGGGGAGCAAACAGG
rnacentral:rRNA from 1 species